rnacentral:lncRNA from 1 species
CCGCCACUAUCGGCGGGGACGAACUUGCCUCCAGAUUGACAUAUUACAAUCAACUUGGACAUGGCUUACUCGAUAACACAACUGACAAUACCAAAUACUGCGCAGACGAAGAUUAAGAAGAAGAAAAAACAUGAAUAAACUGUGACAUGCAAUGGCAUUUAUGAACAAAAUAAUCUACCAAAGAAAACCUAGAUUCAGUAGCAAACGACGAAACCGAAAUCGAUACUAUUAUCGCGAAGCAAGAAGAAGAAGAUGAAGAAAAAACCGCCAUGUCUUCCUGUUCGUAGAAGGAUUGACGAAACUGAGCAACAAAAAAGGGGGUGAAAACUAAAAGAGAGGAGAAAAGUAGAAUGAAACGAACCGGAAUGAAGGAAAGAAAACAGCUUCGGAAGCGGAAGCAGCUACUGGUGCGGCGGGGGGGGCGGAGGAGGGGAUUUGUUGGGGGAAUUGACGGCGGAGGGCGGAUUGCAAAGGGAAGUGGAGUUGGAUGGGGUAAUUGAAAUUGUGGGUUGGAUUUCUGAUGUUUUUGUAAAUUUUAGGGUUUAGGUGUAUUUGGGCAUCGCUCUUUUUUCCAGAGGUGUUUCAGAGAAUCUGAGAAGAUGGAGGGAUGAGGGGGCGAUAGAUUAGUGAAGCAAUCUGCAAAAGGACCAAAUACC